rnacentral:rRNA from 1 species
CAAAAAGAAGAAUAGGUUGGGACGAAUCCACAACCAUAGAUUCACCUUCCUCCGCGUUCCGUAGGUGAACCUGCGGAAGGAUCAUUAGUGAAUCUAUGGUUGUGGAUUCGUCCCAACCUAUUCUUCUUUUGAUACACCUGUGCACCGGUAGAGGUUGUCGCUUGUCGAUGGCCCUACCAACUUCAUACCAAACACAUUUCUGUUUUGAACGUAACAUCUUAUACUAAAAGAUAACUUUUGACAACGGAUCUCUUGGUUCUCCCAUCGAUGAAGAACGCAGCGAAAUGCGAUAAGUAAUGUGAAUUGCAGAAUUCAGUGAAUCAUCGAAUCUUUGAACGCACCUUGCGCUCCUUGGUAUUCCGAGGAGCAUGCCUGUUUGAGUGUCAUGAAACUCUCCAAUUCUAUCGUUUUUUCUAUAGAAUCUGGGUCCUUGGGUUUGCAUGGGUACACCCCAUGCUUACCUUAAAUGUAUUAGCUGAAUACCAGCAGGGUUGUUAAGUUUUUUCACCCUCGGAAGAAGGUAUUUGCUUCCAAUCUGCGCUGUCUUUUGUCGACAGGCAUUUUGUAUCUUCGGCCUCAAAUCAGGUAGGAUUACCCGCUGAACUUAAGCAUAUCAAUAAGCGGAGGAAAGGAUCAUUAGUGAAUCUAUGGUUGUGGAUUCGUCCCAACCUAUUCUUCUUUUGAUACACCUGUGCCCGCUAGAAGGUUGUCGCUUGUCGAUGGCCUACACUUCAUACCAAAACAUUUCUGUUUUUGAACGUAACAUCUUAUACUAAAAAGAUAACUUUUUGACACGGGAUCUUUGGGUUUC